rnacentral:lncRNA from 1 species
AUAUUUUUUGAUUUUGAGUUUGACCUAAAUCCAAAAUAAGUAGAAUGCCAAUCUAAAAAUUUGAUUAAAAUUCACAUCGAGUUUUCGGAUCACAGAGAUCCAUUAUUACCGUUAAGGUGAUAAAUUGCUCUCCCACUGUUAAUUAAGUCAUCUUAUUUCAAUAGAUUGUGUUGGGUGUAAAACCCCCCCAGCCGAAGUUCGUGUCAGGAGUGACCCCUCGGGGACUCUACCGGCAUCCGACCUACAGCGGCAGAAAGACUUCGUCCGGACUCCUACGGGAAUCGGACUCCAUCUCCAACUU